rnacentral:rRNA from 1 species
CUACGGGGGGCUCCAGUGGGGAAUAUUGCACAAUGGGCGCAAGCCUGAUGCAGCCAUGCCGCGUGUAUGAAGAAGGCCUUCGGGUUGUAAAGUACUUUCAGCGGGGAGGAAGGGAGUAAAGUUAAUACCUUUGCUCAUUGACGUUACCCGCAGAAGAAGCAUCGGCUAACUCCGUGCCAGCAGCCGCGGUAAUACGGAGGGUGCAAGCGGUAAUCGGAAUUACUGGGCGUAAAGCGCACGCAGGCGGUUUGUUAAGUCAGAUGUGAAAUCCCCGGGCUCAACCUGGGAACUGCAUCUGAUACUGGCAAGCUUGAGUCUCGUAGAGGGGGGUAGAAUUCCAGGUGUAGCGGUGAAAUGCGUAGAGAUCUGGAGGAAUACCGGUGGCGAAGGCGGCCCCCUGGACGAAGACUGACGCUCAGGUGCGAAAGCGUGGGGAGCAAACAGGAUUAGAUACCCGAGUAGUC